rnacentral:rRNA from 1 species
ACAUGCAAGUCGAACGGCAGCGGGCCCUUCGGGGUGCCGGCGAGUGGCGAACGGGUGAGUAAUGCAUCGGAACGUGCCCGGGAGUGGGGGAUAACCGGCCGAAAGGCUGGCUAAUACCGCAUGAACUCGGAAGAGCAAAGCGGGGGACCUUUGGGCCUCGCGCUCUCGGAGCGGCCGAUGUCCGAUUAGCUAGUUGGUGAGGUAAAGGCUCACCAAGGCGACGAUCGGUAGCGGGUCUGAGAGGACAAUCCGCCACACUGGGACUGAGACACGGCCCAGACUCCUACGGGAGGCAGCAGUGGGGAAUCUUGGACAAUGGGCGCAAGCCUGAUCCAGCAAUGCCGCGUGGGUGAAGAAGGCCUUCGGGUUGUAAAGCCCUUUCGGCGGGGAAGAAAUCGGCCGGGCGAAUAGUUCGGCUGGAUGACGGUACCCGCAGAAGAAGCACCGGCUAACUACGUGCCAGCAGCCGCGGUAAUACGUAGGGUGCGAGCGUUAAUCGGAAUUACUGGGCGUAAAGGGUGCGCAGGCGGCUGUGUAAGACCGGUGUGAAAUCCCCGGGCUCAACCUGGGAAUGGCGCUGGUGACUGCACAGCUCGAGUACGGUAGAGGGGGGUGGAAUUCCUG